GGUUUAGUACCUCAGUGGUAGAGCAUGUGCUUCACAUGCAUGAAGUCCUGGGUUCAAUCCCUAGCACCA
rnacentral:tRNA from 1 species